UGGGGAAUAUUGGACAAUGGGCGGAAGCCUGAUCCAGCCAUGCCGCGUGUGUGAAGAAGGCCUUUUGGUUGUAAAGCACUUUAAGCGAGGAGGAGGCUAUUUGGAUUAAUACUCUAGGAUAGUGGACGUCACUCGCAGAAUAAGCACCGGCUAACUCUGUGCCAGCAGCCGCGGUAAUACAGAGGGCGCGAGCGUUAAUCGGAUUUACUGGGCGUAAAGCGUGCGUAGGCGGCUUCUUAAGUCGGAUGUGAAAUCCCUGAGCUUAACUUAGGAAUUGCAGUCGAUACUGGGAAGCUAGAGUAUGGGAGAGGAUGGUAGAAUUCCAGGUGUAGCGGUGAAAUGCGUAGAGAUCUGGAGGAAUACCGAUGGCGAAGGCAGCCAUCUGACCUAAUACUGACGCUGAGGUACGAGGGCAUGGGGAGCAAACAGG
rnacentral:rRNA from 1 species